rnacentral:rRNA from 1 species
GACCCCAGGUCAGGCGGGACUACCCGCUGAGUUUAAGCAUAUAAAUAAGCGGAGGAGAAGAAACUUACAAGGAUUCCCCUAGUAACGGCGAGCGAACCGGGAACAGCCCAGCUUGAGAAUCGGGCGGCUGUGCCGUCCGA